rnacentral:rRNA from 1 species
UGUUUCCUACGGGACGCAGCAGUAGGGAAUUUUCGUCAAUGGGCGCAAGCCUGAACGAGCAAUGCCGCGUGAACGAGGAAGGUCUUCGGAUCGUAAAGUUCUGUUGAAGGGGAAAAAGAGCGGAGAGAGGAAAUGGUCUCCGAUUGAUAUUACCCUUCGAGGAAGUCACGGCUAACUACGUGCCAGCAGCCGCGGUAAUACGUAUGGGGCAAGCGUUAUCCGGAUUUACUGGGUGUAAAGGGAGCGCAGGCGGCUUGGCAAGUCUGAUGUGAAAGGCUGGGGCUCAACCCCAGGACU